GUUUUGGUAGUUUAAUAAAGAAUAUGGUUUUGAAGCAGCUAAGGUAGUUAACAUACUCUAAAACA